CAGCAGCCGCGGUGAUACGUAGGGUCCGAACGUUGUCCGGAAUUAUUGGGCGUAAAGGGCUCGUAGGCGGUUUGUUGCGUCGGGAGUGAAAACCCAGGGCUUAACUUUGGGCUUGCUUUCGAUACGGGCAGACUUGAGGCAUUGAGGGGAGAACGGAAUUCCUGGUGUAGCGGUGAAAUGCGCAGAUAUCAGGAGGAACACCGGUGGCGAAGGCGGUUCUCUGGCAAUGUUCCGACGCUGAGGAGCGAAAGUGUGGGGAGCGAACAGGAUUAGAUACCCGCGUAGUCCCUGUCUCUUAUAC
rnacentral:rRNA from 1 species